rnacentral:lncRNA from 1 species
CUUGCUUGCAAUGCAGAGGGAGCGAAAUGAAAGAUAACAAAGAAUAGUAUGGAGCAGUCUAGUCAGUAAGUUGGACGUCUCAGCGUAAGGAGGAGGAGAGGGCCACACUUUAAGUGACAGGUGUUUUCAAGAAGUUUAUUCUGUAAUGCUUCAACCUGAAUGACAUCAGCACAACACCCAGGACUGAACGUUGAGCAGGACCAAGUGUGGCUGUAAGGACUGGAAGCAGAUGUCUUGUCCCAUCAGGUACAUUUCAGCCAUGGAAAAAUCAUGAUUUCUUAGGUAUACAAAGUGCCACAAU